UACAGGGGGGGGCAAGCGUUUGUUCGGAAUUACUGGGCGUAAAGGGCCAGUAGGCGGCCAACUAAGUCCGACGUGAAAUCCCCAGGCUUAACCUGGGAACUGCGUCGGAUACUGGAUGGCUUGAAUUCGGGAGAGGGAUGCAGAAUUCCAGGUGUAGCGGUGAAAUGCGUAGAUAUUGGGAGGAACACCAGUGGCGAAGGCGGCUCACUGGACCGGUACUGACGCUGAGGCGCGAAAGCGUGGGGAGCAAACAGG
rnacentral:rRNA from 1 species